AAAAUCUAGAUCUAACUAUUAGAUCUACCAUAGAGAUCAAAACAAGUUAGAGAUCAUUACAAAAUAAAUUUUGAUCUUGAUCUUCUCUAGUCCAAUGGUUAGAGAAGAUGUUCCUCAGAUUGCUCGCAGCCACAUGAAGUUAUCUGGCCUCUAUAGGAAAAUUCACACGUAGACUGGCGCAGAUCAGGGACUUGGAGAUGCUAGUCUGCAAGCAACUUCGAUAGCUAGUCUCUUCAUUCUUCUACAAGCACCUUAGACACUCCAAAGUAGUAGAGGAUCUGG
rnacentral:lncRNA from 1 species